UACAGAUGUGCAGACAGGCAAAGGACAGGAAGACCUCAGAGCUUUGGCUGCAGGCGCUCAGAUGCAGCUGUCUUCCGGCUUGAGACACUUAGCAGAACUCCAGAUGCUGGUCCUUGGGGACGUUGAACUUGAGUUUGUGCUCCUCAAAGAGCUUGCAGAGCUCCUUGAUAUAGCGCUGGUGAAGCUGGUCCACCUCCUCCCCUGAGGGCUGUGGUGUCAUCUGCACCUCAAUGGGCUUCCCCACUGCAAGAGACAGAAGAGGAUAAUGGCCCAAAAUGAGCAGCACUGUAGUCCCAGGAGCCCUGUGAGCAGGUCAUCCCAUAAAGUGUCCUACUACCA